rnacentral:rRNA from 1 species
UACGGGGGGGGGCAAGCGUUGUUCGGAAUUACUGGGCGUAAAGGGCUCGUAGGCGGCCAACUAAGUCAGACGUGAAAUCCCUCGGCUUAACCGGGGAACUGCGUCUGAUACUGGAUGGCUUGAGUUCGGGAGAGGGAUGCGGAAUUCCAGGUGUAGCGGUGAAAUGCGUAGAUAUCUGGAGGAACACCGGUGGCGAAGGCGACUUCCUGGCCUGUUCUUGACGCUGAGGCGCGAAAGCUAGGGUAGCAAAACGGG